AGGACGAACGCUGGCGGCGUGCUUAACACAUGCAAGUCGAGCGGAAAGGCCCUUCGGGGUACUCGAGCGGCGAACGGGUGAGUAACACGUGAGCAACCUGCCCUUAGCUCCGGGAUAGCUCCGGGAAACCGGAAUUAAAUACCGGAUACGACCACGGCCGACAUCUGCUGUGGUGGAAAGGAUUCCGGCUAAGGAUGGGCUCGCGGCCUAUCAGCUAGUUGGUGGAGUAACGGCCCACCAAAGGCGACGACGGGUA
rnacentral:rRNA from 1 species